rnacentral:rRNA from 1 species
UACGGGGGGGGCAAGCGUUGUUCGGAAUUACUGGGCGUAAAGGGCUCGUAGGCGGCCAACUAAGUCAGACGUGAAAUCCCUCGGCUUAACCGGGGAACUGCAUCUGAUACUGGAUGGCUUGAGUUCGGGAGAGGGAUGCGGAAUUCCAGGUGUAGCGGUGAAAUGCGUAGAUAUCUGGAGGAACACCGGUGGCGAAGGCGGCAUCCUGGACCGGGAUUGACACUGAGGCGCGAAAGCCAGGGGAGCAAACGGG